UACGGAGGGUGCAAGCGUUAAUCGGAAUUACUGGGCGUAAAGAGUGCGUAGGUGGUUGGAUAAGUUAGCUGUGAAAUCCCUGGGCUCAACCUGGGAAGGUCAUCUAAGACUGUCUGACUGGAGUAUAGAAGAGGGUAGUGGAAUUUCCGGUGUAGCGGUGAAAUGCGCAGAUAUCAGGAAGAACACCCGUGGCGAAGGCGGCUCUCUGGGACGGUACUGACGCUGAGACGCGAAAGCGUGGGGAGCGAACAGG
rnacentral:rRNA from 1 species